UUCAGCCGGCAGUUUGAGUCUAGACCCGAAGCGCCGCGCUCUUGCUUGCUAGAGCGUCUCCGCGUCUUCACGCUGGGCGACUUGCUUUCUCGCCGGGUCCCCCAGUCCCGCCCAGCCUCGCCGGGUCGGCAGUCCGAUCCCGCGCUGUGCGCCUGCAGCUGGUGCGCCCGCCAAGCGCUGGUGCCUCGCUUGCUGUCCGCCUCGGCUGCGCGGGUGGCUCCUGAGUCGCUGCCUCUGCUGCAGUUCAAAGCUGUAUCAGGCACUCCCUGAGCCCCAGGGAAGCAGACUCCAGGGCAGGAAGCAGACCUUAGGACGUCUUUCCUGGCUUCCCAGCCCAGUUGCCACAACAAACAGCAGAGAAGACAUUGGUGAGUGGUCAGUUAAAGUUCUGUUGUGCACCAUUCUUCCUUCCAGCACCC
rnacentral:lncRNA from 1 species